rnacentral:rRNA from 1 species
UACGUAGGCAGCGAGCGUUGUUCGGAGUUACUGGGCGUAAAGAGUGCGUAGGCGGUUGGCUAAGUUUGGUGUGAAAUCUCCCGGCUCAACUGGGAGGGUGCGCCGAAAACUGGGGAGCUAGAGUGCGGGAUGGGUAAGUGGAAUUCCUGGUGUAGCGGUGGAAUGCGCAGAUAUCAGGAAGAACACCGGUGGCGAAGGCGGCUCUCUGGGCCUUACCUGACGCUGAGGAGCGAAAGCGUGGGUAGGCGAACAGG